AACGCUAGCUACAGGCUUAACACAUGCAAGUCGAGGGGCAGCAUGGUCUUAGCUUGCUAAGGCCGGUGGCGACCGGCGCACGGGUGAGUAACACGUAUCCAACCUGCCGUCUACUCUUGGACAGCCUUCUGAAAGGAAGAUUAAUACAAGAUGGCAUCAUGAGUCCGCAUGUUCACAUGAUUAAAGGUAUUCCGGUAGACGAUGGGGAUGCGUUCCAUUAGAUAGUAGGCGGGGUAACGGCCCACCUAGUCUUCGAUGGAUAGGGGUUCUGAGAGGAAGGUCCCCCACAUUGGAACUGAGACACGGUCCAAACUCCUACGGGAGGCAGCAGUGAGGAAUAUUGGUCAAUGGGCGAGAGCCUGAACCAGCCAAGUAGCGUGAAGGAUGACUGCCCUAUAGGUUGUAAACUUCUUUUAUAAAGGAAUAAAGUCGGGUAUGGAUACCCGUUUGCAUGUACUUUAUGAAUAAGGAUCGGCUAACUCCGUGCCAGCAGCCGCGGUAAUACGGAGGAUCCGAGCGUUAUCCGGAUUUAUUGGGUUUAAAGGGAGCGUAGAUGGAUGUUUAAGUCAGUUGUGAAAGUUUGCGGCUCAACCGUAAAAUUGCAGUUGAUACUGGAUAUCUUGAGUGCAGUUGAGGCAGGCGGAAUUCGUGGUGUAGCGGUGAAAUGCUUAGAUAUCACGAAGAACUCCGAUUG
rnacentral:rRNA from 1 species